CCACAGAGUCAUGUGUGGAAGAGUGCAAAAGGUCUGUUUGUGUGCUAGAGAUUCGAAGAGUCCAGUGGAAAGUGUGAAGUCCAUUGUACUGUGCAUGAGUCUGUUAUCAGAAGGCAAAAGGAUCUUUAAUAGAAGGCUGAAGAGUCCGUGCUGGAAACCAGGAGACAACGUCCAAGAUGAAGGUGAACACUGGAGCCCCUCUGAAGAAACAAAAAAAGUGAGAGUUUCUCAUGCACAGAAUGUGCAUUAGUGGUGAUGGAAUUUCUUCUAGGAGACAGAGAAACCCACAGUAAUGGAUUAAAAGAUCAGGAGACCCUGCUUUCUCUUCCUGUCUGUCUUACACUAUAAAUAAAGAGCGUGCUGGAUUCCAGGCAGUCAUUAGCUCAUCAGGCUGCGGUUCCACCUGGUCCCAGCUUUCAAGCAUCAAUUUUGAGUGCAAUUUUGAAGAAAAGAGGGAAGAUGGGAGAAGUGAAUAGUCAGCUAUAUUCAUGGUGUUGAAGAAAGAAUUUGGUUUGCUGGGAUACAGCCUGUGAUAACAGAACAAGGCCUGGAAAGAAACAGGUUAUGUCUGGCUGGAGAGUGAUUGGCAUUAACAAGGAAUAUUACCACAUAGUAGCAAAAAAAAAUAAUAAUACAAGGAAGAGCCAAUGAAGAUUAUGCAAUCUGAAAGAGAGGAAAAGAGACUGAACAAAACAAAGAGAUCAUCAGAGAACUGAGGGAAAGUUUCAAGAAGUAAAAUACGUUAAGAUCUGGCCAUGGAGUUCAAGCUGGCCUUGGACUGACUGUAUAAUCAUAGGCUGGCCUCCAACUCACAGCAAUCCUCCUGUCUCAGCCUCUCAAGCACUGGAUUACAGGAAUGUGCCACCAUGCUCAGCGAAUUUUCUGUUUUUAUCCAAGUUUUCAGUUUGAUUUAUUUUAUCUACCUCCUCAACAUUGCUUUCUAACUCUUUUUUCUCUUAUAUUAAGCUCUUUUCUUUCCCUCAUUGGUUCUUUUUUUCUUUUUUAAAUUAGCAUCACUGAUGUUUCCUGUAGAUUCAUUUUUUUUAAGUCUUUUAUUUGUUUUUCAUUCAGUUUGUUUUCUAUUCCUUGCAUGUUUUCUGUUUUUCCCAAAUUGUUGUUUUUAUUUUCUUCUCUUAUAUAACUUUUUUACAAUGUUUAAUGAGCUUUCAUUAUAUGCUUAGAUUUUAAAUGUAGGCCACUAAAAAAGCAUGCACAUGUUUGUACAACUUGGUAUGAAUAAAUAUGUUACUGUGGAAAAAAUCUAGCUGGCUGAUGCCUCAGAUCAUCCCUGAUACAGGAAACUAGAAUUAUUUUUCUUUUCUCUUUGGUCUGGUUAAACUUCUAUAAGGAUUUCUGGUCUUUCUCCUGAAGGUUAAAUGUUUGGCAGCUUAAGAUCCCUGGGUAGUUACCAACCAGGAGCUUUCAAACUACCAUAUUUCCUUUAUGUUUUUUAGUUGAUAUCUUUAAAAUAUUUUUAUUAUUAUUAUAGUGAUG
ensembl:lncRNA